rnacentral:rRNA from 1 species
CCUGCGGAAGGAUCAUUACAUU